rnacentral:rRNA from 2 species
CAGUACAAGCCUAAUUAAGGUGAAACCGCGAAAGGCUCAUUAAAUCAGUUAUGGUUCCUUAGAUCGUACGCACAUUUACUUGAAUAACUGUGGUAAUUCUAGAGCUAAUACAUGCAAACAGAGCUCCGACCAGAGAUGGAAGGAGUGCUUUUAUUAGAUCAAAACCAAUCGGCGGCAGUCACUUCGGUGUCUGUUCGUCGCCCUAUUUGGUGACUCUGAAUAACUUUAUGCUGAUCGCACGGUCUUGCACCGGCGACGCAUCUAUCAAAUGUCUGCCUUAUCAACUGUCGAUGGUAGGUUCUGCGCCUACCAUGGUUGUAACGGGUAACGGGGGAUCAGGGUUCGAUCCCGGAGAGGGAGCCUGAGAAACGGCUACCACAUCCAAGGAAGGCAGCAGGCGCGCAAAUUACCCACUCCCGGCACGGGGAGGUAGUGACGAAAAAUAACGAUACGGGACUCAUCCGAGGCCCCGUAAUCGGAAUGAGUACACUUUAAGUCCUUUAACCAGGAACCAUUGGAGGGCAAGUCUGGUGCCAGCAGCUGCGGUAAUUCCAGCUCCAAUAGCGUAUAUUAAAGUUGUUGCGGUUAAAAAGCUCGUAGUUGAAUCUGUGUCCCGUGCUGUCGGUUCACCGCCCGCGGUGCUAACUGGCACGUCUUACGGGACGUUCUGCCGGUGG